GAUCCCCCAUCGUGGGGUGAGGCCAUUCGAGGACAGAGCUUUGUCCUGGGACCUGCCGGUGCAGUGGGCAACCCGCCCAGUGGGAGGACACUGUCGAGGGAGCACAGCGCCCAGCAUGUGGUGGUGGUUCACGAAGGUGCACAGGGAGACCAUCCAGAAAGGAGCAUCAGGUGCAGUUACCUGGCUCUUGAAUUCGUGUUCUCAAGAUAGAUGGUCAGACAAUAUGAGGGAUCAGCUUCCGGGAGAAAUGGGGCCAACAGUAGAGUUUUCCAGAGGUGCCAGGAGCUUCUGAGGAGGCCUCCACUGACUCGGCGCUAUGAG